UCUUCUUCAACUGCUGGUUCUUCAAAUUUUUCAGCUGCCGAUUCGUCAGGCUUUUCUUCAACUGAUGGUUCUUCAUGUUUUUCAUCGAAUGUUGGUUCUUCAACUGUAGAUUCUUCAGAUUUCUCCUCAACUGUUGGUUCCUCAGGUUUUUGGUCAACUACUGGUUCUUGAGGUUUAUCUUCAAUUGCUGGUUCUUCAGGUUUCUUUUCUAGUUCUUCACGUGUCUCUUUAACCACUGGAUCUUCAGGUGUUUCUUUCACCUCUUGUUUUUUGUGUUUCUCCUCAAUUGCUGGUUCUUGGGGUUUCUCUUCAAAUGUUUCUGCAAUUGCCAAUUUCUGAGGUUUCUCCUUUAUUGCUGGUUCUUCAGGUUUAUCCUCAACAAUUGGUUCUUCAAGCUUUUCCUCAACCAUUGGUUCUUCAAUUUUUUCCUCAACCAUUGGUUCUUCAGGUUUUUCCUCAACUCCUGGUUCUUCAGGUUUUUUCUCAACUGCUGGAUAGUCAACAACAUCAUUGUUGGUAUUGCAUGGAGUCUGAGUGUCAGACUUCCCGUUUGAAUCUAUAACUGACAUAUUCUGUAAGAAAAAUUUGAAGUUUCACUUAGUCUUCCAAUAGAUAAACAGAUGUGAAUUGUUGCACAUUCAGAGCUAAUAGUACAGGUAAAACUUGUGAGUACUUGAUCCUCACCUCUUCCAACAAAGUUACCUUUUCAGGCUUCGCUUCAACUUCAACUGCUAGUUUUUCAAGGUUCUUUUCAAUUGCUAGAUCUUUAGUUGUUUCUUCAACUGCUGGUUCUUCAGGUUUCUCUUCAAAUGUUAGUUCUUCAAGUGUUUCUUUCCAUGCUGGUCCUGCAAGUGUUUUUUCAACUACAAGCUCUUCAGAUUUCUCUUCAACUGUUGGUUCUUCAAGUUUCUCCUUGAAAACUGGUUCUUCAGUUUGUUUUUCCACUUCUGGUUCUUCAAGUUUCUCUUCAAUCACUUGUUUUUCAUGUUUUUCUUCAACUUCCAGUUCUUCAGCUGUUGGACAGUCAGCAACACCAUUGUUGGAAUUGCCUGGAAUUUCACUGUCAAUCUUGUCCUUUGAGUCUAUAAUUGACAUAUUCUGCAAGAAAAGUUUAAAAUUAGAUUUAAUAUUCAAUAGAUUGACAUAUGUGAGUGUGUUACACAUAUAAAGCUAUUAGAAUGGAUAAACUGUGACACUGUUUAAUCCUCACCUUCUCUAGGAGAGCUUCCGUUUCUAGUUUCUGCUCUUCAAUUACUGGGUUGUCGUGUUUCUCUUUAACAACUAGCUCUUCAAAGGUCUUUUCAACCAUUGGUUCUUCAGGUUUCUCUUCAAGUGCUAGCUCUCCAAGUGUUUCCUCCCCUGCUAGCUCUUCAUGUGUUUCUUUAGCUGUUGGUUCUUCAAGUUUUUCUUCAACAGUUGGUUCUUGAGGUUUCUCCUCAGCUGGUUUUUCAUAUUUCUCCUUAAUUGCUAGUGUAUCAAGUUUCUCUUCAAUAACUGGUCCUUCAGGUUUUUCUACAACUGCUGGUUCUUCAGGGUCUUUCUCAACUUCUUGAAAGUGAGCAUCAUCAUCGUUAGUAUUGCAUGGAAUUUCACAGUCAGUUUUGUCCUUUGAGUCCGCAACUAGCAAAUUCUGCAAGAAGAAUUAAAAGUUUCACUUAGUCUUUUAGUAGAUAAAGCAGAUGUGAAUCAUUGCACAUACAUAAAUAAUAGGAUGGAUAAACUUAUGACAGUGCUUGACCCUCGCCUUAUCCAAAAGAGUUACCUUUUCAAGUUUCUCCUCUUCAACUGUUGGGUUUUCAGGUUUCUCCUCUUCAACUACUGGUUUGUCAGUUUUUUCUUCAAAUGCUAGUUCAUUAGGUGUUUCUUCCCGUUUUGAUUCCUUGAGUGUUUCUUCAGUUUUUGGUUUUUCAGGUUUCUCUUCAACCAUUGGUUCUUCAAGUUUCUCCUCCACAGUUGUUUUUUCAUGUUUCUCUUCAACUGCCAGAUCUUCAAGUUCUCUCUCAACUGUUGGUUCUUCAGGCUUCUCCAUAACCGCCAAUACUUCAGGCUUCUCUUCAAUUGUUGUUUCUUCAUGUUCUUUUUCAACUACUGGUUCUUGAGAUUUUUCCUUGACUGAUUCAUAGUCAGCAAUAUCAUUGGUGGUAUUGCAUGACAUUACAUAAUCUAUCUUGUCCUUUGAGUCUACAAUUGGAAAAUGCUGCAAGAAAAUUUAAAAGUUUUACUUAGUCUUUCAACAGAUAAACAUAUGUAAAUCCGUUGCACAUAUAAAGCUAAUAUGAUGGAUAAAUUUUGUGACAAUGUUUAAUUCUGACCUUCUCUAGAAGAGCUCCGGUUUCAGGUUUCUCCACUUCAACAACUAGUUCUUUAGGUGUCUUUUCAACCGUUGCUUCUUCAGGUUUCUCUUCAAGUGCUAGUUCUUCAGCUGUUUCCUCCCCCUCUAACUCUUCAGGUGUUUUUUUAGCUGUUCGUUCUUCAGAUUUCUCUUCAGCCGCAGGUUCUUGAGGUUUCUCUUCAAAUGGUAAUUCAAAUUUCUCCUCAACCGAUGGUUCUUCAAAUUUCUCUUGAAUAACUGGUUCUUCAGGUUUUUCUUCAACUGCUGAUUCUUCAAGAUUUUCUUCAACAUUUAAAGAUUGAGCAACAUCAUUACUGGUAUUGCAUGGAAUUUCACUGCCAUUUUUGCUGUUCAAGUCUACAACUAGCAUAUUCUGCAAAAGAGUUUAAUGUUUCACUUAGUCUUUCAAUAAAGAAGCAGACGUGAAUCAUUUCACAUACAUAACUAAUAAUAUGGAUAGCUAAUAAUAUGGAUUAACUUUUAUGACAGAUUUUCCACAAGAGCUACCUUUUCAGGUUUCUCCUCUUCAAGUGAUGGUUUCUCUUCAAAUGAUAGUUCAUUAGGCGUUUCUUCCUGUGUUGGUUUUUCAUGUGCUUCUUCAGUUACUGGUUUUUCAGGUUUCUCCUUAGUUGUUGGUUCUUCGCUUGUCUCCUCAGCUGAUUGUUCUUCAAGCUUCUCUCCUGUUGUUGAUUUUUCUGGUUUCUCUUCAAUUAUCGGUGGUUCAGGUUUUUUCUCAACCGGUGAUUCUUCUGGUUUCUCCAAAACCAUUGAUUCUUCAUGUUUUUUUUCAACUACUGACUCUUCAGUGUUUUCCUCAACUGAUGCAUAGUCAGCAAUAUCGUUGUUGGUAUUGCUUGGAAUUGCAUUGUCUAUCUUGUCCUUUGAGUUUACUUUUGGCAUAUUCUGCAAUGAAGUUUCACGUAGUCUUUCAAUAGAUAAACAAAUGUAAAUUUGUUGCACAUAUAAAAGCUAAUAUGAUGGAUAAAAUUUGUGCCAGUGUUUAAUCCUCACCUUCUCCUGAAGAGCUUCCGCUUCAAGUUCCUCCUCUUCAAUUGCAGGUUUUUCAUCUUUCUCUCCAACAACUAGUUCUUCAGGUUUCUCUUCAAGUGCCAGUUCUUCAGGUGUUUCCUCCUUUGCCAGCUCUUCAGGUGUUUCCUCCUUUGCCAGCUCUUCAGGUGUUUCUUUAGCUGCCGGUUCUUCAGGUUUCUCUUCAACCUCCGGUUCUUGUGGUAUUUCCUCUACUUGUACUUCAGAUUUCUCCUCAAUUGUUGGUUCUUCAGGUUUCUCUCUAACCGCUGCUGCAUUAGGUUUCUCUUCAUUGGCUGGUUCUUCAGGUUUUUCUUCAACUACCGAUUCUUCAGGAUUUUCCUCAAUGUUUGGAAAGGGAGCGACAUCAUUAUUGGUAUUGCAUGGAAUUUCACUGCCAGUUUUGUCAUUCAAGUCCACAACUAGUAUAUUCUGCAAAAGAGUUUAAUGUUUCACUUAGUCUUUCAAUAAAGAAGCAGAUGCGAAUCAUUACAUAUACAUAACUAAUAACAUGGAUAAACUUUAUGACAGUAGUUGACCCUUACCUUUUCCACAAGAGUUACUUUUGCAGGUUUCUCCUCUUCAAGUGCUGGUUUCUCUUCAAAUGAUAGUUCAUUAGGUGUUUCUUCCCGUGUUGGUUCUUCAUGUGCUUCUUCAGUUACUGGUUUUUCAGGUUUCUCCUCAAUUGUUGGUUCUUCGCUUGUCUUCUCAACUGAUGGUUCCUCAUGCUUCUCUCCCGUUGUUGAUUUUUCGGGUUUCUCUUCAGUUGUCGAUGGUUCAGUUUUUUUCUCAACCGCUGGUUCUUUUGGCUUCUCCAAAACCAUUUCCGAUUUCUCUUCAGUUGGUGGUUCUUCAUGGUUUUUUUCAACUACUGGUUCUUCUCUUUUUUCCUCAACUGAUGCAUAGUCAGCAAUAUCGUUGUUGGUAUUGCUUGGAAUUGCAUUGUCUGUCUUGUCCUUUGAGCUUACAAUUGGCAUAUUCUGCUAGAAAAAUAUAAAGUUUCAUGUAGUCUUUCAACAGAGAAACCAAUGUAAAUUUGUUGCACAUAUAAAGCUAACAAAUAUGAUGGAUAGACUUUGCGAGAGUGUUUAAUACUCACCUUCUCCGGAAGAGCUUCCGUUUCAGGUUCCUCUUCAAUUUCUGCUUUUUCAUCUUUCUCUUCAACAACUAGUUCUUCAGGUGUCUCUUCAACCGUUGAUUCUUCAGGUUUCUCUUCAAGUGUUAGUUCUUGAGGUGUUUCCUCCUUUGCUAGCUCUUCAGGUGUUUCUGUAACUGCCGGUUCUUCAGGUUCCUCUUCAGCCACCGGCUGUUGACGUAUCUCCUCUACUUGUACUUCAGAUUUCUCCUCAAUUGUUGGUUCUUCAGGUUUCUCCUUAACCGCUGGUACAUCAGGUUUAUCCUCAUUGACUGGUUCUUCAACUGCUGAUUCUUCUAGAUUUUCCUCAAUGUCUGGAAAGCGAGCAACAUCAUUAUUGGUAUUGCAUGGAAUUUCAUUUCCAGUUUCGUUAUUCGAG
rnacentral:lncRNA from 1 species